GACGAACGCUGGCGGCGUGCUUAACACAUGCAAGUCGAACGGAAAGGCCCCUUUGGGGGUACUCGAGUGGCGAACGGGUGAGUAACACGUGAGUAACCUGCCCUUGACUUCGGGAUAACUUCAGGAAACUGGGGCUAAUACCGGAUAGGAAUCCUUGCUGCAUGGUGGGGGUUGGAAAGCUUCGGCGGUUUUGGAUGGACUCGCGGCUUAUCAGCUUGUUGGUGGGGUAGUGGCUUACCAAGGCUUUGACGGGUAGCCGGCCUGAGAGGGCGACCGGCCACAUUGGGACUGAGAUACGGCCCAGACUCCUACGGGAGGCAGCAGUAGGGAAUAUUGCACAAUGGGCGGAAGCCUGAUGCAGCAACGCCGCGUGCGGGAUGACGGCCUUCGGGUUGUAAACCGCUUUCAGCAGGGGCGAAGCUUUUGUGACGGUACCUGCAGAAGAAGCACCGGCUAACUACGUG
rnacentral:rRNA from 1 species